AUUAUUUUUCAAAAAAAAAAAAAAAAAAAUCUGUUCUUAUCAGUUUAAUAUCUGAUACGUCCCCUAUCUGGGGACCAUAUAUUAAAUUGAUUUUUGGAAUAGGGAGAUGGAAUAGGGGCUUGCUCCGUCCACUCCACGCAUCGACCUGGUAUUGCAGUACUUCCAGGAACGGUGCACCCCCU
rnacentral:snRNA from 13 species